UACGUAGGUCCCGAGCGUUGUCCGGAUUUAUUGGGCGUAAAGCGAGCGCAGGUGGUUUAUUAAGUCUGGUGUAAAAGGCAGUGGCUCAACCAUUGUAUGCAUUGGGAACUGGUAGACUUGAGUGCAGGAGAGGAGAGUGGAAUUCCAUGUGUAGCGGUAAAAUGCGUAGAUAUAUGGAGGAACACCGGUGGCGAAAGCGGCUCUCUGGCCUGUAACUGACACUGAGGCACGAAAGCGUGGGGAGCAAACAGG
rnacentral:rRNA from 1 species